GUUCAUGUCUCAAAAAAGAGUUUAACGAUUUUCCUCUUAACUGAGACCCCCAAAUCAAUUCUGAUUUGAGUCCUCAAUUCAACUAUUUAUAUAUUUCAGGUACCAUGUUCAUUUUUUUUUUUCAGUGAAUGGAAUUAUUUAUACUUUUCAGACUAAUUUCAAUCAGUAACUCAUCUUUGUGAACUUAAUGUAAAGAACCGACUCGGAGAACUGGCUUUAAGGUGACCAGAUUUCUAAAAUGAAGUCUUGUACCAAUCCCCCAAAACUUUGUAUGUGAGGUACAAUCAGUUUUAGUAACAUACAAAUUCUUACCCUUCUUCAGAGCCCACGGCAAAGGCCUAAUUCUCUUAUUAUCUUUCUCACAGGUGGUGACCUGUCCCAAUGCUUCUUUCAAUGGCCUGACCAAAAUAGUGUCCAGAAUUAGAGCCAGUGAAGCAGGCUGUCAUGGAAGACAGAGCAGCAGCUGGAGAAUUACGUGGAGAAAAUGGAUAUCAAGAUCACAAAGACAGAAAAUCCAAAAUGCUUACCUCAGAAUGUGAGACCAUCUGCACUAAAAGAAAACAUCACUGUUAAGGCCUGUUCACAUCAAGAAUGAUUAUCUUCCUUCAACGCGGAAGUAAGCCUAUGGGUGAGAAGAAUAACAACGUGUAGUAAACAGUAAAACUGUUUGCACUUAUGCUCAAAUAGCGUUUAAAAAGUGGAUUUUUCAGGCUAGACCAGCCAAUGCGCAUGGGAACCGGAGCUUCAAACGGCAGCUUCAGUGACGCAAUGACUUUACCAAUCAGCUUCUUGGAUUUUUCAUUUAGAAGGUGAGACUAUUCUGCCAUAUUGCACAAUGCAGUUUCUCCCAUUCUUAAGUACAGGAUUGAACUUUCUUUGUAUUUCUAUAGCCUAGUCUUUGGCUAGACUAUUAAAAUUUACAAAUAGCUGUGCAUCGUCUGUUAAUUCUAAGCCAUGCGUGUCUGCCACUUUAAAUUCUUGUGCCCAUUAAUGUAGGAUUGAUUCUGAUUUGGUGUCAAUAUUUUUUUCCUUCAUCAGCUUGAAAAAAAUAAUUCCAAAAAUGAUUACAAUGAUAUUGUUUCUUUGUGCUUUUGUCUUUAGAGCUGUGGUGUGGACUACUAUAUUUAAAUAUUGAGAAAGUUUUUUAGAAAUAUCUUUAUUGUUAUCUUUAUAGUUAAAAAUUGAAUAAA
rnacentral:lncRNA from 12 species